GAUGGGAUGUAGCAGAAGCCGCUGCAGCAGCUCCUGAUUUUGGAGCAAAGAUAAAUCCUCUGAUUGAUUUGCUGUGAAGUUCUUCAUUUGGUGACUAAUGCAGAUGUACCGGAUGAGCCUGGCAAAAUCUCUGACCCUUUCUGGUCUUCUCUAUUGUUUCUCACAUGAACAGUCCCACGGAUGCCACUAGAGGAUGAAGGCUCUUAUUCUGGAUAUCAGUCCACUGUUGGAGGUACAGUUGGCAAGGACUUUCUUCCAUCCUGUGAGGCUGCCUCUUCACUUCACAGCUUCUUUCGCUCUAUAAAAGUUUUAAAAAUUAAAAAAAAAUCACUUUACAGUGUGUGUGUGUGUGUGUGUGUGUGUGUGUGUGUGUGUGUGUGUGUGUACCACAGUCAUUGUGUAGUGGUCAGAGGACAACUUGUGGGAGUCAGUUCUUUCCUUCUGCCCUGUCUGGGGACUGAACUCAGAUCAUUAUGCCUCACGGUGUGCACCUUGGCCCACUUGGCCAUGUCUUGCUGGCGCUGUAGAAGCUUUGCAACAUCAUGAGGUCUCAUCUGUCAAUUGUUGGCUGCUGCACUCUUUUAAUAACAACUUUUGCUGAACACUUACGAUAGUGAUAGUUAUUUCUCUAAGUGCUUCUAGCAAGGGGAGUCUAACUUUUUAACAGUUGCCACACACUGGGUUAAUCACCACUCUUG
ensembl:lncRNA